ACAUUUGCACCAAAUUGCCAAAAGAAGGAGAAAUGCUCCGUUUGCUUUUUAAAUGUUAAUGAUGAUGUUAAUAAAGCCUUUCCUGACACAUUUGAGGAGCUCCUCCGUCUCCAGGGGCUUCUUACCAGAGUUAUGCAGUGAUGGGUUUAGUUCUGAAUGGAUGAAGAGUUCCUGAGAGCUAGCGUUUGUAAUUAGAACCGUUACUUGGUAUCUGUGCCUUAUUUGACCUUUGGUUCCACAUGCCUUGGAUGUGCAUGCACCGUGACGGUUUCAUAGGUACGAACGCACACUCAGGCCCAGUCACUUCGGUUGGUAGUACAGAUUGUGAGGAAAAAGAUGGAGGCAUCCUUAAGGAGGAAAAAUGUUUGCCUUUAGUUCCUGCAUUAUCCUGUACAGAGGGGCUCCUGAGUUUUGGAAGCCUGUUCCCAGUACAGGAGAACAACUCCCCUGUUUGCAGCAGGAGACUUCAGUGCACGGUGACAACGCUGGAGUUCAAGAGGAAGCCAGCAAUGCUGCACCAUUGGCUUCAGACACCAUUGUUGUUGUUUGCCAGUUUUAAACUUAACUAGUUGCAGACGAAGACCACCUUGAAAUGCAGGCUUGUUGGGCUUGUUUUGAAUUUUAACCUCGGAUGGAAGAGCCCUAGUGCUGUCUGUCUCCAUGCGGGAUGAUGAUUGCUAGGCAACAGGUGAUUAUCAACAAAGGAUGCCACGGUUAUACUCUGCAAGGUGGUGUUCCAGUGGCAAACAGCUGUAUAAACUCUUGUAAACAGGAACUACUGACAAAAACCUAUAGUCGACUUUGGGAUCUGACUUUAUUAUUCAGCAACUCAAAGAUGAGUUCUAAUUGGCAGACUUCUGGCACUGGCACUUGUCCUCCUGUUUCUAUAGAAACUGGGUUGGAAGUCAGAGCUGCACAAAGGGAAAGGCUCCCAAGGAGGCAGCAGAAACUGGGGUAAUCACAACGGUCAACAGCAGCAAAGGCAGCACUUUCUGAUUUACUUGACUGCUAUGGAUGCCACCUCUCUCCACGCCUCAGUUUAAU
ensembl:lncRNA LAMTOR5-AS1 LAMTOR5 and SLC16A4 antisense RNA 1